CUAACAUUGGAUUUUAAGUUAUGAGCUGCAAGGGCACCACUUCAUCUCACCUCGUUGUGGUUACUGGAACCUGAGCAGUUAUUCCUGACUGACUUUUAAGAACCAGGGAGACUCUGUGAUGGGAGCAGGUUGUCCACAGUGGCCAAGUGGGCCCAGGAAAUGCACAUUUGGAUAUUUCAAGUGUGGAGGCAGGCUACAACCUGUGCCGAAGGGGAAGAAAUACCCUGCUGCCUCCAAGUGCUUAGCGAAGGAAAAGAAAUCAUCUUGCCUAAAGAGAGACAGAGGCUGUACAUUUUGCCACCUGGUUCCUGGCUCCUUCAAAAGCAGAGGUCAUCACUUCAUUCACCAUGACUUUGCCCAAUCUGGAACCUCAAUGGCACCUUCUUCACCGAUUAGGAUUUUCUCCUUGUGUUGGCUUUCGGGGCACUCUGUACGCACCUUGUUCCGUUCUCUGCUCAAGGCAAGGGGGGCACCAGGUUCCUUCUUAGCCUUGUACUUCCAUGAUGGUUGACAUAUCCCUCCCCGCUCCCCACUAGUCAGAGCCACAGGAUCCCCUCCCAUUAAGGUGGGUGUGGAAGAUCCAGAUGUUGACUACUUCUCCGCCCGCUUUCCCCAGGCUGGCUCCAUCUUCGCAUUAGGAGCCAGAUGGCUGCAUAAGCUUUAAGUGUCACAUUCUAACAAGACACCGUUCAGAGGAAGAAGAAAGAUUAGAAAAGGAAAGAAGGAAGCUUUCCCAGAAGACGCCCACAGAUCCCUUCAUUUCUCUGUGGCCGGAAUAGGGUGCUUCGCCCAUCCCUGCACCAGUCGCUGGUAAGAGGGGGAGGCCGUGAUCAGGAUGGCCUAGGCCGGCUCUGCUCAGAGGAUAGUCGGCAGUGCCAGCCUCUCUCUAGAAACUCAGGUGCUCCAGCUCCAGCUGGGACCGCUGGGAUCAGGAACUUCCAUGUGGUUAUUAGCUAACUGGUGACUCGGGGGUUAACUGGAGCAGAACCUGCUGGUGCUGCCCUCCUGAGCUGAAAGGUCCACUGGGGAUGAGCCACGGGGACUGAUGCCGUAACCAGCCCUACCAGCCUUCCACACCAGCCAUAGUGACAGCAGUGAUGCUGUUCCUACUACCGCCUGAGCCAAUUUUGGCCAACUUGUUCCCACUCAAACACUCAGCCAGUGUCUGAACUUCACUGCUUCUUGAACCUUUUGAAGUUCAUGUUUUGGCAUCAGGCCUUAAUAUUUCACGUUUCACAGACAUCGUUGCUUUUCAUUCAACACGUUUUUAUCAAGGCCCGGUAAGGGUUCUGGGUUCACGAUCGUGAACAAGGUACAUGGGGAGGCCGGGCGAGGGAGCUUUGCAACAUUCUGGAGGUGAAGAUGCAUUUCAUCGUUUUACAGAUGAGAAAAGCAAGCAUCUGAGAAUUAAGUGACUUGCUGGCGGCUACGGGGCCAGAAGGGCAGAACUGGGGCUGCAGCGGCCGUGCUUCUGCUUCACUGCUGUUUACCACUCACCCACUCCCUUUCUCGGAGCUUCCCUAAAAUCCUCCAAAGAUCUCCUUCCUUCCUCCGGACUCCCAGGGGCUGGACUGAAAGGGAGCUGGGAGGAAAAGGAAAUGAGGGAGAUGACAUUUUUAGAGGCAAGACCGUUUUCAAAAAAAGAGAUUUUUUUCCCCCUUCCAUUUGCAGGUGAAGUAAAGCAGGUAAAAGGUUAUGUGGGGAAAUGGGGGAAAUGAUUAAGAACCAGGUAAGAUUACCUUCUUGACUUUUUUCCAUUCUCCAGAUGUCUGUGUGCCGGGGGGGCAGGGGCGGGGGGGAAGAUCUGUUAAAAAAACAACAAUAACAAAUAAAGCAAA
rnacentral:lncRNA from 12 species